rnacentral:rRNA from 1 species
UACGGGAGGCAGCAGUGGGGAAUAUUGCACAAUGGGCGAAAGCCUGAUGCAGCUAUGCCGCGUGUAUGAAGAAGGCCUUAGGGUUGUAAAGUACUUUCAUCGGGGAGGAAAAAACAAAACUAAUAAUUUUAUUUCUUGACGUUACCCGAAAAAGAAGCACCGGCUAACUCCGUGCCAGCAGCCGCGGUAAUACGGAGGGUGCUAGCGUUAAUCAGAAUUACUGGGCGUAAAGAGCACGUAGGUGGUUUUUUUAAAGUCAGAUGUGAAAUCCCUGGGCUUAACCUAGGAACUGCAUUUUGAAACUGAAAUACUAGAGUAUCGUAGAGGGAGGUAGAAUUCUAGGUGUAGCGGUGAAAUGCGUAGAUAUCUGGAGGAAUACCUGUGGCGAAAUCGGCCUCCUAAACGAAUACUGACACUGAGGUGCGAAAGCGUGGGGAGCAAACAGGGAUUAGAUACC